rnacentral:rRNA from 1 species
AUUGAACGCUGGCGGCAUGCUUUACACAUGCAAGUCGAACGGCAGCAUGGGCUUCGGCCUGAUGGCGAGUGGCGAACGGGGGAGUAAUGCAUCGGAACGUGCCGUGUAGUGGGGGAUAACACAGCGAAAGUGGUCCUAAUACCGCAUACAUCCUACGGGAAAAAGCAGGGGAUCGCAAGACCUUGCCCAAUACGAGAGGCCGAGGUCCGAUUAGCUAGUUGGUAGGGUAAAGGCCUACCAAGGCGACGAUCGGUAGCGGGUCUGAGAGGACGAUCCGCCACACUGGAACUGAGACACGGUCCAGACUCCUACGGGAGGCAGCAGUGGGGAAUUUUGGACAAUGGGCGAAAGCCUGAUCCAGCAAUGCCGCGUGAGUGAAGAAGGCCCUUGGGUUGUAAAGCUCUUUCGGUCGGGAAGAAGGAAUGGGUGCUAAUAUCACCUGUGACAGACGGUACCGGCAUAAGAAGCACCGGCUAACUACGUGCCAGCCGCCGCGGUAA